GAUUAAGUUAUUAAGGGCGCACGGUGGAUGCCUUGGCACUAGAAGCCGAUGAAGGACGUUACUAACGACGAUAUGCUUUGGGGAGCUGUAAGUAAGCUUUGAUCCAGAGAUUUCCGAAUGGGGAAACCCAGCAUGAGUUAUGUCAUGUUAUCGAUAUGUGAAUACAUAGCAUAUCAGAAGGCACACCCGGAGAACUGAAACAUCUUAGUACCCGGAGGAAGAGAAAGAAAAUUCGAUUCCCUUAGUAGCGGCGAGCGAAACGGGAAGAGCCCAAACCAACAAGCUUGCUUGUUGGGGUUGUAGGACACUCUAUACGGAGUUACAAAGGACGACAUUAGACGAAUCAUCUGGAAAGAUGAAUCAAAGAAGGUAAUAAUCCUGUAGUCGAAAAUGUUGUCUCUCUUGAGUGGAUCCUGAGUACGACGGAGCACGUGAAAUUCCGUCGGAAUCUGGGAGGACCAUCUCCUAAGGCUAAAUACUCUCUAGUGACCGAUAGUGAACCAGUACCGUGAGGGAAAGGUGAAAAGCACCCCGGAAGGGGAGUGAAAUAGAACCUGAAACCGUGUGCUUACAAGUAGUCAGAGCCCGUUAAUGGGUGAUGGCGUGCCUUUUGUAGAAUGAACCGGCGAGUUACGAUUUGAUGCAAGGUUAAGCAGUAAAUGUGGAGCCGUAGCGAAAGCGAGUCUGAAUAGGGCGUUUAGUAUUUGGUCGUAGACCCGAAACCAGGUGAUCUACCCUUGGUCAGGUUGAAGUUCAGGUAACACUGAAUGGAGGACCGAACCGACUUACGUUGAAAAGUGAGCGGAUGAACUGAGGGUAGCGGAGAAAUUCCAAUCGAACCUGGAGAUAGCUGGUUCUCUCCGAAAUAGCUUUAGGGCUAGCCUCAAGUGAUGAUUAUUGGAGGUAGAGCACUGUUUGGACGAGGGGCCCCUCUCGGGUUACCGAAUUCAGACAAACUCCGAAUGCCAAUUAAUUUAACUUGGGAGUCAGAACAUGGGUGAUAAGGUCCAUGUUCGAAAGGGAAACAGCCCAGACCACCAGCUAAGGUCCCAAAAUAUAUGUUAAGUGGAAAAGGAUGUGGCGUUGCCCAGACAACUAGGAUGUUGGCUUAGAAGCAGCCAUCAUUUAAAGAGUGCGUAAUAGCUCACUAGUCGAGUGACACUGCGCCGAAAAUGUACCGGGGCUAAACAUAUUACCGAAGCUGUGGAUUGUCCUUUGGACAAUGGUAGGAGAGCGUUCUAAGGGCGUUGAAGCAUGAUCGUAAGGACAUGUGGAGCGCUUAGAAGUGAGAAUGCCGGUGUGAGUAGCGAAAGACGGGUGAGAAUCCCGUCCACCGAUUGACUAAGGUUUCCAGAGGAAGGCUCGUCCGCUCUGGGUUAGUCGGGUCCUAAGCUGAGGCCGACAGGCGUAGGCGAUGGAUAACAGGUUGAUAUUCCUGUACCACCUAUAAUCGUUUUAAUCGAUGGGGGGACGCAGUAGGAUAGGCGAAGCGUGCGAUUGGAUUGCACGUCUAAGCAGUAAGGCUGAGUAUUAGGCAAAUCCGGUACUCGUUAAGGCUGAGCUGUGAUGGGGAGAAGACAUUGUGUCUUCGAGUCGUUGAUUUCACACUGCCGAGAAAAGCCUCUAGAUAGAAAAUAGGUGCCCGUACCGCAAACCGACACAGGUAGUCAAGAUGAGAAUUCUAAGGUGAGCGAGCGAACUCUCGUUAAGGAACUCGGCAAAAUGACCCCGUAACUUCGGGAGAAGGGGUGCUCUUUAGGGUUAACGCCCAGAAGAGCCGCAGUGAAUAGGCCCAAGCGACUGUUUAUCAAAAACACAGGUCUCUGCUAAACCGUAAGGUGAUGUAUAGGGGCUGACGCCUGCCCGGUGCUGGAAGGUUAAGAGGAGUGGUUAGCUUCUGCGAAGCUACGAAUCGAAGCCCCAGUAAACGGCGGCCGUAACUAUAACGGUCCUAAGGUAGCGAAAUUCCUUGUCGGGUAAGUUCCGACCCGCACGAAAGGCGUAACGAUUUGGGCACUGUCUCAACGAGAGACUCGGUGAAAUCAUAGUACCUGUGAAGAUGCAGGUUACCCGCGACAGGACGGAAAGACCCCGUGGAGCUUUACUGUAGCCUGAUAUUGAAAUUCGGCACAGCUUGUACAGGAUAGGUAGGAGCCUUUGAAACGUGAGCGCUAGCUUACGUGGAGGCGCUGGUGGGAUACUACCCUAGCUG
rnacentral:rRNA from 1 species